AUGACAACACAAUGCAAAGAAGACGACAGGAAACUUCUGCUCUUUGUAUCACUGUGGUGGACUUUCGGCAGCGGCACCAGACUGGAUGUUGGCAGUAACAGUCGUCCUAAAGUGAGCGUCCUGCCACCGUCCAGUGAAGAGAUUUCCACAAAGCAAGCAGCAACACUGAUGUGUGUGGCCAACAAGGGCUUCCCCUCAGACUGGAGUCUGAACUGGAAGGUGGACGGGAUCAGCAGCAGGUCUCAGUACAGCAGUGUUGCUCUCCUGGAGAAGGACGGUCUGUACAGCUGGAGCAGCAGUCUGACUCUCUCUGAGCAGGAGUGGAGCUCAGUGAUCUCAGUCAGCUGUGAGCUCACACAGAAAGACCAGCGUGAUAAAGUCACUGGAGAAUUGAGGAGAGAUCAGUGUUCACAGUAG